CAGAGUAAAGCAUUAAAAAUGCCCCUCCCUUACACCGAGAAGAUCUUCCCCAAAGUACUCUGU
rnacentral:tRNA from 1 species